AGCUUCUUUCAGAAUCUCCAAGCUGUUCAACACCACCAUCCAAGUCUGGCCCAUCCGCAGACUGUACACAUCUCCAUAUUUCUCCCUUAACUGUGAGGAGGUUUGAGAGACAAGUCAGAGGCAAGGCAGAGAGAGUGAAUCCUCCGCGUAGCUGGUGACUGGUGUGGAUCCUGACGAGAGGCAACCUGUGAAUCUGACAGGUAGAAACAAUGAUUUCAUAUGGACACGGUGCCAGAGUGAGGCCAGAACGGUAGUCCAUCAUGGGCUUCACCCCAGCAGGCAUGGAGAAGGUGAAGUGCUGCAUGAAGGAGGUGAAGAAGAGGAAAAGCUCCAUCCUGGCCAGGUUCUCCCCGAGACACACCCGUUUACCUGAGGCAGGAAAACAAACUGAAUCUAACUGAAAAUCUCUGUCCUCUGUUAGUUCAGAGGUGAAACUAAUUAAUGACAACAGUGUUGGUCAUUCUCAUGAGGCCUUUAUAGGACAUAGAUGUGCUAAUUCUUUGGGUCACCAUUAGAAACUUUGUCCUAGCUAGUGGAAAGGCCAGAAGGUGACCAAGGUCAUUAGUCAAGCCUGUCCCUGAAUAUGCUGGGACAGAAUAAAGUCAGUAAUAGAACAAGUGAUAGAGUUGCUGCUCACCAGCAGAGAAAGGGAUGAAAGCAGCUCGCUUCACAAACUUGCCCUCAUUGUUUAGAAAGUGUCCAGGGUUAAAGGUGUUGGGCGUCUCCCACUCAUUCUUGUCAAACAGCACCGAGGUCAAAUUGGGAAUUAUUGUAACACCCUGGUGAGAUUUCAGAAAUACACAACAUGACAUGUGACAUAAAAUCUGCAUUUUUCUUUUACUACAUUAACAUGACUAAUUACCUUUGGGACUGUGUAGCCUCCCAGCUGGAUGUCUCUGGUGAUGACAUGAGGCACGCUGAGGGGGACUAUGUUGGCAAUCCUCUGGACCUCGUGGAUGACAGCGUCAGUGUAGGGCAGGUUUGCACGGUCAUCCAUGGACGGCUGUCUGGACUGUCCAAUCACUCUGUCUAUCUCAGCCUGGACCUUUUCUGUGCAACAAGAGGGAAACUGACAUUUGAACCAGUAACAAAGAGGAUAUAUUGUAUUUUCUACAGGUAGAUGUUUGCCCAAUACAGUAUGUAUGUCAGUAUGGGGUAGUAGUAGUCACAUGAUGUGUUACAUGCAGCUAAUGGCUGUGAACUGGAGACACUGGUGUUGUCUACACCUGCAAAAUUCCCUCCAACAGAUUUGUUUAUUAUCAUCCAUGUGCACAUUACUGAAUAAGAGUAAAGCAUCAGUGCUCUUACCUUGGAUCUCAGGGUACUUCGCCAUGUAGAGGAAAGCCCAGCGCAGGGUGGUGGAUGUGGUCUCAGAGCCAGCCACAAAUAGAUCCAGGACACUCGCAACGAGGCCUUCCUCAUCAAAAGUGCUAUCUGCCUGUCCCUUGUUCUGGGUAUACAUUUAAAUAUAUGUGUUAAAACAUGCUGCAAUAUAACUCACAUCAACUUGAUUUCAGUGCUGUUGCAGAAAUUCAAAAUUACAUUCAAUUCUAAACUUUUAUUUAGAAAAGCUAAUCUGGAUUGAACAGUCUAACCAUCUGAUCAUGUUUAUUAUCUUCCCAAGAAACACAGUAUAUGUAUCUAGUGCCUGUCACCUUCUGAAUCUCUUUCAGGAAACAGUCGAUGUAGUCUCUCUGGUCUGAGGGAUCCCAGUUCUGUUUGUGCUCUUUAAUCUCUACUUUUAUGAAGUCCAUUACAUCAUUCCAGAUGUGCUGAACUGUCUGAUGUGGCCCUGGCAAACGUCUCAUCAGCAGAGGGAAGGAGUUGUAGAGCUGCAGAGUGGAAUAAGAACAUACUUAUAACACAUUUCAUUGAAAGUGUUUCUGUUUGUGACAAUUAAUAUUGAUUUACCCAGUGGCUCUUGUACCUCUUACACAUGAGCUGUGUGUGUAUUAAAUAUGACAUUCCUUUGUCUGAAUAGAGCCACUGGCAUGAUAAACUGCUUCACAAUAAGGAAUGUGUUGCACAACAACAGUACAGAGAAGUAUUGAGCAGUAGAUUUAAAUUCCAAUACCUGUGCCCAAAUGGAGCCUUCAAUCUGAAGACCUUUAUCAAACAACUUCAUCAAUUUCAUGAACUUCUCAUUGCUGUACUCGAAGCGAUGACCAAAAACCAGGGAGCAGAUGAUGUUGGAGACGGCGUUGUUGAUGAUGAGGUGUGGAUUGAAUGGUUUACCUUUGCCAUUGAACAGGAAAUUGUAUGUAAAUUCUGCAUUUGUUCAUUAUAAACAUGUCACUGUGCGUCAACGAUUUACCUUUAUUGUCUCUGAAGUCUUUUGCACAAUGUGUAAAUUCAUCCAGGAUAACAGGUUCAAGUGACUUCUUUCCAAAUCCAAAAUAUCUGAGUGUUGAGAGUGCAAAACGCCUUUGUUGCUUCCAGAUGUUCCCAUUACUGAAAAUUAUACCUGAUGGUAAAUGCACAGAAUUAAGAACCAGACUCUUUGUUUUUAGCACUUUGACAACAGCUAAAAACAUAAAAAUAUGUAAGACAUUAUUUUGUAAGCAAAGUGUGUCUGUACCUUAAGAAUACAACAGUCCGA